rnacentral:rRNA from 1 species
GCGCUUAACACAUGCAAGUCGAGCGAAGCACUUAUGAAAGAUUCUUCGGAUGAUUCCAUUUGUGACUGAGCGGCGGACGGGUGAGUAACGCGUGGGUAACCUGCCUCAUACGGGGGGAUAACAGUUGGAAACGACUGCUAAUACCGCAUAAGCGCACAGUACCGCAUGGUACAGUGUGAAAAACUCCGGUGGUAUGAGAUGGACCCGCGUCUGAUUAGCUAGUUGGUGGGGUAACGGCCUACCAAGGCGACGAUCAGUAGCCGACCUGAGAGGGUGACCGGCCACAUUGGGACUGAGACACGGCCCAAACUCCUACGGGAGGCAGCAGUGGGGAAUAUUGCACAAUGGGGGAAACCCUGAUGCAGCAACGCCGCGUGAGUGAAGAAGUAUUUCGGUAUGUAAAGCUCUAUCAGCAGGGAAGAAAAUGACGGUACCUGACUAAGAAGCCCCGGCUAACUACGUGCCAGCAGCCGCGGUAAUACGUAGGGGGCAAGCGUUAUCCGGAUUUACUGGGUGUAAAGGGAGCGUAGACGGCGAGACAAGUCUGAAGUGAAAGCCCGGGGCUCAACCCCGGGACUGCUUUGGAAACUGCCUUGCUAGAGUGCUGGAGAGGUAAGUGGAAUUCCUAGUGUAGCGGUGAAAUGCGUAGAUAUUAGGAGGAACACCAGUGGCGAAGGCGGCUUACUGGACAGUAACUGACGUUGAGGCUCGAAAGCGUGGGGAGCAAACAGGAUUAGAUACCCUGGUAGUCCACGCCGUAAAC